rnacentral:rRNA from 1 species
CGUGUAGGCGGUUCGGUAAGUUGGACGUGAAAGCUCCCGGCUCAACUGGGAGAGGUCGUUCAAAACUGCCGGGCUAGAGGACGGUAGAGGGAGGUGGAAUUCCCGGUGUAGUGGUGAAAUGCGUAGAUAUCGGGAGGAACACCAGUGGCGAAGGCGGCCUCCUGGACCGUUCCUGACGCUCAGACGCGAAAGCUAGGGGAGCGAACG